rnacentral:rRNA from 1 species
CACGUAGGGCGCAAGCGUUGUCCGGAAUUAUUGGGCGUAAAGAGCUCGUAGGCGGUCUGUUGCGUCUGCUGUGAAAACCCGGGGCUUAACCCCUGGCUUGCAUUCGAUACGGGCAGGCUAGAGUUCGGUAGGGGAGACUGGAAUUCCUGGUGUAGCGGUGAAAUGCGCAGAUAUCAGGAGGAACACCGGUGGCGAAGGCGGGUCUCUGGGCCGAUACUGACGCUGAGGAGCGAAAGCGUGGGGAGCGAACAGG